rnacentral:rRNA from 1 species
GACGAACGCUGGCGGCGUGCUUAACACAUGCAAGUCGAGCGGAGCGGCGAACGGGUGAGUAACGCGUGAGUAACUGCCCCCCUCUCUUAGAUAACCGUUGGAAACGGCUGCUAAUACCGGAUAGUGGGGGAUGACUCGCGUCCUAUCCGCUUGUUGGUGGGGUAGUGGCCUACCACGGCGACGACGGGUAGCCGGCCUGAGAGGGCGACCGGCCACAUUGGGCGGAGAGACGGCCCAAACGCCUACGGGAGGCAGCAGUGGGGAAUAUUGCACAAUGGGGGAAACCCGGAUGCAGAAACGCCGGGGGCGGGAGGACGGCCUUCGGGUUGUAAACCGCUGUCAGCCAUGACGCGGUAGUGGCAGAAGAAGCAACGGAUAACUACGUGCCAGCAGCCGCGGUAAUUC